UGGCACCAGAACUCGGCAGAUUAGUCAAGCAGCUACAAUGAGCGGUCAGGAGUGUAGAGGAUCAUUGACUGGGAUCUGCAUAUUCACAUCUUGGUACACGACUGUGCCUGCAGAAAAUGAGUCAUCAUCUGGAUGAGUAUCAAACUCAGUAAUAAUUGCUGUUACACUAAGUGUCAUCGUUCUCAUGCUAAUCAUCGUACUUUUCAUUUUUCUGAGGAAGAAUUACAGGUGCACAAGAAAUGAGUCAAAAUCUUUAGUGCCUAUGAAAUAUGAUAGUGUCAUUGCCAAUUCUAAAGCAACAUCUGGAACAAGUGAAUGUUUGGAUAAAAGCAACGAGAUGCAAUGACAAUUAAUAGCUCAUAUGCUACUACAGGUGCAGGCAGCAGUGCUGAAUCAUGUGGAUAUCUAGAGGUUAGAGCUGUUGCAGCUCAGCGAAACAGGAAGAAUGAGGAACUGUUGUAUGAUAGUAUGGAUUCUGAAUCGGCACUUUGAUCUCAAUGUAAUAAAGGAGAGAACUUUUCUGAUGAUUUGUGGCUAUUUAUAUGUUUAAAAUGCCUUUCUUAGUGCUUGCCAUGCAUGUGUGUUUAGCAUGGCGGAAUUAAACAUUUACAAUAUCUAAGCUGGGCAUUGUUGUCUAGUAAUAUUUGAUAUGUUUGCUGCUACUGAUUUUAUAGAACUCGUUCA